GUAGUCCACGCCGUAAACGAUGAGUGCUAAGUGUUGGGGGGUUUCCGCCCCUCAGUGCUGCAGCUAACGCAUUAAGCACUCCGCCUGGGGAGUACGGUCGCAAGACUGAAACUCAAAGGAAUUGACGGGGGCCCGCACAAGCGGUGGAGCAUGUGGUUUAAUUCGAAGCAACGCGAAGAACCUUACCAGGUCUUGACAUCCCGGUGACCACUAUGGAGACAUAGUUUCCCCUUCGGGGGCAACGGUGACAGGUGGUGCAUGGUUGUCGUCAGCUCGUGUCGUGAGAUGUUGGGUUAAGUCCCGCAACGAGCGCAACCCUUAUUCUUAGUUGCCAUCAUUCAGUUGGGCACUCUAAGGAGACUGCCGGUGAUAAACCGGA
rnacentral:rRNA from 1 species